UUUAAUUCGAAGCAACGCGAAGAACCUUACCAGGCCUUGACAUGCAGAGAACUUUCCAGAGAUGGAUUGGUGCCUUCGGGAACUCUGACACAGGUGCUGCAUGGCUGUCGUCAGCUCGUGUCGUGAGAUGUUGGGUUAAGUCCCGUAACGAGCGCAACCCUUGUCAUUAGUUGCCAUCAUUUGGUUGGGCACUCUAAUGAGACUGCCGGUGACAAACCGGAGGAAGGUGGGGAUGACGUCAAGUCCUCAUGGCCCUUAUGGGUAGGGCUUCACACGUCAUACAAUGGUCGGUACAGAGGGUUGCCAACCCGCGAGGGGGAGCUAAUCCCACAAAGCCGAUCGUAGUCCGGAUCGCAGUCUGCAACUCGACUGCGUGAAGUCGGAAUCGCUAGUAAUCGUGGAUCAGCAUGUCACGGUGAAUACGUUCCCGGGUCUU
rnacentral:rRNA from 1 species